rnacentral:tRNA from 1 species
GGAGGGGUGUCCGAGCGGUUUAUGGUGGCGGUCUUGAAAACCGCUGUCCCGGGUCACCGGGACCGUGGGUUCGAAUCCCACCCCCUCCG